rnacentral:rRNA from 1 species
AGAGUUUGAUCCUGGCUCAGGACGAACGCUGGCGGCGUGCUUUAUACAUGCAAGUCGAACGAUGAAGUUCCUUCGGGAAUGGAUUAGUGGCGAACGGGUGAGGAACACGUGAGAAACCUGCCUUUCAUUCUGGGAUAACACCGGGAAACCGGUGCUAAUACCGGAUACUCCAUCUUGGCGGCAUCGCCGAGCUGGGAAAAAAUUUUGAUGAAAGAUGGUCUCGCGGCCUAUCAGCUAGUUGGUGAGGUAAAGGCUCACCAAGGCGACGACGGGUAGCCGGCCUGAGAGGGCGACCGGCCACACUGGGACUGAGACACGGCCCAGACUCCUACGGGAGACAGCAGUAGGGAAUAUUGGGCAAUGGGCGAAAGCCUGACCCAGCGACGCCGCGUGAGGGAUGAAGGUCUUCGGAUUGUAAACCUCUUUCAGUAGGGAAGAAGCGAAAGUGACGGUACCUAAAGAAGAAGCACCGGCUAACUAUGUGCCAGCAGCCGCGGUAAUACAUAGGGUGCAAGCGUUGUCCGGAAUUAUUGGGCGUAAAGAGCUCGUAGGUCGUUUGUCGCGUCGAUUGUGAAAAUCUGAGGCUCAACCUCAGACCUGCAGUCGAUACGGGCAAACUAGAGUGUGGUAGGGGAGACUGGAAUUCCUGGUGUAGCGGUGGAAUGCGCAGAUAUCANNNNNAACACCAAUGGCGANNNCAGGUCUCUGGGCCAUAACUGACACUG